AUUAAUGUUAUAGUAUUACACAAUAAAAAUAAUAAAACUAGUAUAACAUUACAAGUCUUCAUACAAUAAAUUAACAUCAUCAUAUUAAAUCAAGUCUUAAUACAAUAAAUUAACAUCAUAUUAAAUCAAGUCUUCAUACUUUCAUCCAAGUGCAAUGAAACAUCUUCAACAUCAAACCUACACAAUGAAACAUGUAAACAUGUAUUUAGAAAAUAUAAAAAAGUCAUGAAUUAAUAUAAUAAAAUUUUCAUACCAUUGGCGUUGUUGUGUCUGCAUCAUCAACUAUUGAGCAAAAUUUCAUCUUUGAUUUUAAGGAACCUAAUGACACAAUUAUACAAUCAUUAAAAUAAAUAAAUUGCUUAGAAGAAAAAUUUACAAGUAAAAUUAAAUUUAUUACCUUCAAUCUCAUUACGCAACCAAUCUUGAGAGCACAUCAAUGCCUCAACAGUGUCUUCAUUUAAUUUGCUAAGAUGUGAAUUCAGAAACUGUCCACCAAUGCUAAAUGCAGACUCAGAACCAUAGUCCCCGUCCCGAUUCCUUAUAUUUAUGUUAUACAUAUUAUAAGUUAUGAGGGUAUAUAAGUAAAAUUAUAUAUACGCAGGAUAAGGACCCUGCGGGGCGAAAAGCAUAAUCCUUGUUCCCAAAUUAGCUGCGGGAGGUUUUCAUCUCCAUCCCCGGGGAAAAUUUUUUCCCGACCACAGGACCCCGAAUGGGGAAUCCCCAGUUGUGGGAAGAAUUCUAAUUAUGUUAAACCAAGAUGGAAAAUGAUUUUAAAUCCUUGAUUCAGCCCUUUUUUUUUU
rnacentral:lncRNA from 1 species